ACGCACGCUGGCGGCGUGCCUAAUACAUGCAAGUAGAACGCUGAAGGAGGAGCUUGCUUCUCUGGAUGAGUUGCGAACGGGUGAGUAACGCGUAGGUAACCUGCCUGGUAGCGGGGGAUAACUAUUGGAAACGAUAGCUAAUACCGCAUAAUAGUAGAUGUUGCAUGACAUUUGCUUAAAAGGUGCAAUUGCAUCACUACCAGAUGGACCUGCGUUGUAUUAGCUAGUUGGUGAGGUAACGGGUCACCAAGGCGACGAUACAUAGCCGACCUGAGAGGGUGAUCGGCCACACUGGGACUGAGACACGGCCCAGACUCCUACGGGAGGCAGCAGUAGGGAAUCUUCGGCAAUGGACGGAAGUCUGACCGAGCAACGCCGCGUGAGUGAAGAAGGUUUUCGGAUCGUAAAGCUCUGUUGUAAGAGAAGAACGAGUGUGAGAGUGGAAAGUUCACACUGUGACGGUAUCUUACCAGAAAGGGACGGCUAACUACGUG
rnacentral:rRNA from 1 species